AAGUCGUAACAAGGUCUCCGUAGGUGAACCUGCGGAGGGAUCAUUACACAAUAAACAUAUGAAGGCUGCACCGCCAACAGGCGGCAAGGCUGGAGUAUUUUAUUACCCUUGUCUUUUGCGCACUUGUUGUUUCCUGGGCGGGUUCGCCCGCCUCCAGGACCACAUGAUAAACCUUUUUUAUGCAGUUGCAAUCAGCGUCAGUACAACAAAUGUAAAUCAUUUACAACUUUCAACAACGGAUCUCUUGGUUCUG
rnacentral:misc_RNA from 1 species